CCGGGAUUGAUUCGAAAGAAUUAUCUCCAUUGACCCUAUGUUUACAACAUAUGUCUACUUCGGCGAGACGUUUUUUGGAAGUUUCCAAAAACCAUUGACUUGUAAAAGAGUGAAUGUGUUGCUUGCCGAAGGUUUUUAACUCUAUUACUUUGAAGUCUGAGUAAACAAACAAAUAAAUUA
rnacentral:misc_RNA from 1 species